UGGCGACCAUAGCGUUUUGGACCCACCUGACUCCAUCCCGAACUCAGAAGUGAAACGAAACAGCGUCAAUGGUAGUGUGGGGUCUCCCCAUGUGAGAGUAGAACAUCGC
rnacentral:rRNA from 1 species